UACAGAGGUCUCAAGCGUUGUUCGGAUUCAUUGGGCGUAAAGGGUGCGUAGGCGGCGCGGUAAGUCGGGUGUGAAAUCUCGGGGCUUAACUCCGAAACUGCAUUCGAUACUGCCGUGCUUGAGGACUGGAGAGGAGACUGGAAUUUACGGUGUAGCGGUGAAAUGCGUAGAUAUCGUAAGGAAGACCAGUGGCGAAGGCGGGUCUCUGGACAGUUCCUGACGCUGAGGCGCGAAAGCCAGGGGAGCGAACGGG
rnacentral:rRNA from 1 species